rnacentral:rRNA from 1 species
CAGUAGCCGCGGUAAUACGUAGGUGGCAAGCGUUGUCCGGAAUUAUUGGGCGUAAAGGGCUCGCAGGCGGUUUCUUAAGUCUGAUGUGAAAGCCCCCGGCUCAACCGGGGAGGGUCAUUGGAAACUGGGAAACUUGAGUGCAGAAGAGGAGAGUGGAAUUCCACGUGUAGCGGUGAAAUGCGUAGAGAUGUGGGGGAACACCAGUGGCGAAGGCGACUCUCUGGUCUGUAACUGACGCUGAGGAGCGAAAGCGUGGGGAGCGAACAGGAUUAGAUACCCCAGUAGUCCCUGUCUCUUAUAC